GAGACACCCCUAUGGAGCAGGACUUACUUCAGUGGGGCUUUGGCGUUCACUGAAUCUGUCCCUUUAGUGUGUCACU
rfam:Myotis davidii contig33563, whole genome shotgun sequence.